rnacentral:lncRNA from 1 species
CCCCGGGCCCAGGAGCGUAUCUUUGUGAGGUACAUUUUGAAGAAAAUCAAUUUGAAUGCUCUAGGCAAGAUGGGCGUAAAAAACUCAAGCCCAAUGCUGUGCCAACUCUUUUCAAUGUGCCUAAUCCCCCACAACUGUUGACCCCACAGCGUCUAAAAGGCAUUGGUUUACCAAAGCACCGUUCAGUUACAUCCAAUUUUUGUAAUGGUGGCUUGCUGCACAGUUUACCUUUAUCAACUGAAGCGAUUUCUGUUGCUGAACCA